CAAAAACUCCCACGAAAGUCAUGAGGGAUUUUGGAUGAGCAAAGAAUGUAGAAUCAGUCCUAAGCACAAAUAUGACAAUUUGGAUAAGGCUGUUUGAAUACAGGCUUGUGACGCAGCAGAAGACUAAACCUGAUUUGCAGCAAGCAUGGAGUUAACUCCCGCACAGAUGACACAUGGGAGACCCAGUCUCUGAAGACCUUCCUCCUCAGUGCUGACCUUUAUGCCUACAGCAUGGCACAGACAGUCACAACAAAAGGACUAGAAGAUUUGACCCUCCAACAUUCUUUCAAGAGGAAAAGCUGCCCAGAGCUCCUGUACCUGUUAUCCUUUUCUGUCUGCAGUGGCCUGGAUAUACC